rnacentral:rRNA from 1 species
AUACGGAGGGGGCUAGCGUUAUUCGGAAUUACUGGGCGUAAAGCGCACGUAGGCGGAUCAGAAAGUUAGGGGUGAAAUCCCGAGGCUCAACCUCGGAACUGCCCUUAAAACUCCUGGUCUUGAGUUCGAGAGAGGUGAGUGGAAUUCCGAGUGUAGAGGUGAAAUUCGUAGAUAUUCGGAGGAACACCAGUGGCGAAGGCGGCUCACUGGCUCGAUACUGACGCUGAGGUGCGAAAGCGUGGGGAGC